rnacentral:rRNA from 1 species
UGGGCGUAAAGCGAGUGUAGGUGGCUCAUUAAGUCACAUGUGAAAUCCCCGGGCUUAACCUGGGAACUGCAUGUGAUACUGGUGGUGCUAGAAUAUGUGAGAGGGAAGUAGAAUUCCAGGUGUAGCGGUGAAAUGCGUAGAGAUCUGGAGGAAUACCGAUGGCGAAGGCAGCUUCCUGGCAUAAUAUUGACACUGAGAUUCGAAAGCGUGGGUAGCAAACAGGAUUAGAUACCCUGGUAGUCCACGCCGUAAACGAUGUCUACUAGCCGUUGGGGUCCUUGAGACUUUAGUGGCGCAGUUAACGCGAUAAGUAGACCGCCUGGGGAGUACGGCCGCAAGGUUAAAACUCAAAUGAAUUGACGGGGGCCCGCACAAGCGGUGGAGCAUGUGGUUUAAUUCGAUGCAACGCGAAGAACCUUACCUGGUCUUGACAUAGUGAGAAUCUUUCAGAGAUGAGAGAGUGCCUUCGGGAAUUCACAUACAGGUGCUGCAUGGCUGUCGUCAGCUCGUGUCGUGAGAUGUUGGGUUAAGUCCCGCAACGAGCGCAACCCUUUUCCUUAUUUGCCAGCGGGUUAAGCCGGGAACUUUAAGGAUACUGCCAGUGACAAACUGGAGGAAGGCGGGGACGACGUCAAGUCAUCAUGGCCCUUACGACCAGGGCUACACACGUGCUACAAUGGUAGGUACAGAGGGUUGCUACACAGCGAUGUGAUGCUAAUCUCAAAAAGCCUAUCGUAGUCCGGAUUGGAGUCUGCAACUCGACUCCAUGAAGUCGGAAUCGCUAGUA